rnacentral:misc_RNA from 1 species
GCUACUACCGAUUGAAUGGUUUAGUGAGGACUCCUGAUUAGCGCCGCCGCCCCGGCAACGGAGCAGCGGACUGCCGAAAAGUUGUUCAAACUUGAUCAUUUAGAGGAAGUAAAAGUCGUAACAAGGUUUCCGUAGGUGAACCUGCAGAAGGAGAUCGGAGGAGUGCUGUGUUGGGAAAGAGUGUAGAUCUCCGUGGCCGCCGUAACAUUAAAAAAAAAAGCGUGUAGUCGUCCCACGCGACUCGCUUUUGAUUCUCUGCUUCGGCUCUUUUUCAUUU